ACUCGAGUGGCGAACGGGUGAGUAACACGUGAGUGAUCUGCCCUGCACUUCGGGAUAAGCUUGGGAAACUGGGUCUAAUACCGGAUAGGAGCCAUCUUUAGUGUGGUGGUUGGAAAGUUUUUUCGGUGUAGGAUGAGCUCGCGGCCUAUCAGCUUGUUGGUGGGGUAAUGGCCUACCAAGGCGGCGACGGGUAGCCGGCCUGAGAGGGUGUACGGCCACAUUGGGACUGAGAUACGGCCCAG
rnacentral:rRNA from 1 species